rnacentral:lncRNA from 1 species
AGUUUAUUUUAAGUUAAACAUCAUCAUUUGACUCAUCUAUACUAUUAAAAUAGAAAUCACAAUCUAAUUCAUAUGCAAUAUUUCACUUUUGAUUAUCUACUAGAAAGUCAUAAAAUUUAGUACCAUUUAAUUUCACAUUAACAUCACAUAAGUUCUACAUUGCACAAGUCGACUAAUGUAUUGUCUAUGAUAUUAAAAACACAAUAAAACCUUUCUUCUUUUUUGAACACAAAAAAAAAAAAGGUUUUAUUAUGUUUUUAAUAUCAUAGACAAUACAUUAGUCGAUUUGUGCAGAGUUUUUAUUAUAGUUGUCACGAUUUAUAUUAUAUAGAAAGGUUUUAUUGUGUAUAUAAAACCUUUCUAUAUAAUAUAAAUCGUGACUACUAUAAUAAAACUCUGUAAUGUCUACAUAAGUUCUACAUC